rnacentral:rRNA from 1 species
UACGUAGGGACCGAGCGUUGUCCGGAAUCAUUGGGCGUAAAGAGCGCGUAGGCGGUCCGAUAAGUCGGCUGUGAAAGUCAUGGGCUCAACCCAUGAAAGCCGGCCGAUACUGUCGGACUAGAGUCCGGAAGAGGCAAGUGGAAUUCCCGGUGUAGCGGUGAAAUGCGCAGAUAUCGGGAGGAACACCAAUGGCGAAGGCAGCUUGCUGGGACGGUACUGACGCUGAGGCGCGAAAGCGUGGGGAGCAAACAGG